UCAUGUGGCUUUUGCUAUUUGCAUCGUGGAUUUGCCCCUGCCACACCGCUUUGACCAGCCUUCUUCCCUGCACGGGUCUAGAGGACUCCAGUCAAGUCCAGCCACUAGGUCCUUCCCUCAUCUUCCUCUUCGCCUCAAAUCCAUGCCGACCAGCUACGCAGGGGGCUGCUCCGCGAACGCCGCAGUGAGCGACUGAGCGGCCACUGCAAAAACCAUGCCAACCACCAUGCCUCAUCCAAGCUCACCAUCGGUGCUGAGCUAACACCCCGCCGCCAAUAUUCUUGAAAGGAGUUUUUGGCCUGGAGGGCCUUGCCCAUGCUGACGCCUACGCCCGUCAGUACCGUCCCUCGCCCUUCACAGCCCGGCGACGGCGAGAUGCUCUCAGUGAAGUCGGUGGGCGCCAUCUCCAGGCAGGCGCAGCUGCGGCGUGAGGCCUCGCUCUGCUAGCCCUAUGUGCUUCCCUGCCUUGGCUCCCGCGCCGGCGAGUACAAUCGCUAGCCUCUUCCUCGAGUUCAUGUUGGGCGGCUCGCUCGCCGAUCGACGAGGUGAAGAGGAACAGGGCAGCCUCGAGGAAGGCACCGUCUGGGCCUUCUCGAGGGGAGAAGAGAUCUGUCGCUAGGCUGCGCCGCCUGGAUGCCCGGGGAUGAGUUGGUCCAGACGUCCAGUGCCUUGAGCUGGUCGCUGGAGGAGAUCUUCCUGCUUCAGAUCUUCUGCGGCGCGCUAGACGAUGCCAAUGGGUUCGGGGACGAGUAGAGAUACUCGCGGCAUGACCCCCGUCUUUGCCAAUCCCGACGUAGUGCACGACUUGCGCAACGGCGUGGCUGCGCUAGAGAACCAGAUACUGCCGUUUAUAUUGGAUCUCCUGCUCGGGAUCGAAGUCAGCCAUAUUGAGAAGACAGUCGCCAUGGCCAUCCUUGCUGUGCGGUUCUUCUACCUAUUCAUGUCCACCGACACGAUACUGGAUCGCAGGAACCGGUCCAGGCUAUAUCCGGCAUGGAUGCUGAUUCAGUUUUGGUUCGAUUAAUUUGUUUGUUGUUUGUUCGCGGAGCAAACAGUCAUUUGCAUUGUUCCCGCCUAACAGCUUGCUGCAGCCUACAGGGCUUCAUGUAAUGGAUGGCGUCCACGGUGCUUCGAUGGUGCCCCAUCCGACUACUUCUUGCUCCUGUUCCAGAGAGGAGUACUGCAGUUGAGCCUGCGAGGGAGAAGGUACAGGCUUGGCUUGGUAUGGCUGCUAGCAAGUAAUUAAUUAUUUUCCUAAUUAUGUUGGGGAUUUUUUUACAUGUGACAGGAUAAUUAGUUCAAUUAGGUAAAAAAAAAUGUGUUUGCUGCAGAAGUGCUUGAAUGUAUCGUACAUAAUUAUUUGAUGUAAAAUCAAAACAAAAUAUAACCCUGAUAUAGAAUGAGGUAAAGAAUAACAUGUCUAAGAUGUCUUGUGGAGUAAGUGUUGCUGCAGUGGCAUAGGUGCAUAUAAAAACACGACACGUGACUAAGAGAAAGAAAAAAAUUGUUGGAUUAUAUUUAAACCUACAAAUGCAAAUAUUACCCUAGCUUGUGAUUUCUACUAAACGAGAUGCAUAAAUACUUGGCAAAAGGAGGACAAACAGUUCUAGCCUGAACAAUAAAUCACUCUGUUUUGUUGUACAAAUCAUUAAAUGAAACAAUGAAUUGGUAAUUACCCAAUAUUAUUUCUUGCCACUGCAUACGACUCUGUUUUGUUGUACAAAUCAUUAAAUGAAACAAUGAAUUGGUAAUUACCCAAUAUUAUUUCUUGCCACUGCAUACGAUGUAAAGUACAGUGGAGACACUUCCUUCUGAAUUUGAGUUCUGAUGGUUUACUGUCAUUUGCUUGAUGAAAGAUAUUGAGAUUUAUGUUCAGGUAGUAGAAUUCAUAUCUUUAAUUAGAUUCUUCAUAAUUUACAUAGUCGUUCAGACAAGAGGCAAGCAUAUGUGCCAAUCUUUUGUUGAUGACUCUCUUUUCCUAGCAUAAGCUGUUACCUCAUAUCCAUUAACUAAAAUACAGUCAGUCAUGAACUAAGUGAUUUAACCUUACGUUAUCGUGUUCUAUUCACAUUAAAGUGCAUAAUCAUUUGCCUUAUGUUAAAUCUCUGAAAAGUAGAUAUAAAAAGUGCAUGUUAAAUAUGCGUACAUGUCCAACCAGAAGUUAAAAUGUCAUUUUGAGAGUUUGAUUUUAAAGAACCUUCGGCAUAUCCUACGGCAAAGGCGUUCCCGCCACCUCCCAUUCCGACUCCUAUAGCAGUUCCUCACCAGUCACCAGAAUGGUGGUGCCUGAUCCUCCACAUCUACGGCCGUCACCGAGAUGCUACCGCCGUCCCCUGUUCCUGCUCCUAAAGAAGAUCCUCACCAGGACGGUGGUGGCCCGGUCCCACCUGCUGGUCUGCUUGUGGAGAGAUGGCCUCAUAUCGUUGGCUGGUCCGACGUGUGGAGGGAUGCAGCCAUGCUGAUGGCAUUGAUUGGCUUUGCUUCCGGUUUCUCUCCCUUCCAUUUACUUUUUCUGUUCUCUUUUAUUAAUCUGUACUUCUUUGUGUGUAGUUCUUGUGCAAAUUCAUGGGCUAUAUCGGUCAUGAUAAUGGAAACUUGAUUUGGUUAAUCAAAUGAUCCCAUACAACUUCUUAUUUUUAAAUGUUUAUAUCUGACAUAUUGUAGUUCAGACCAGUGUUUAAAUUAUUCUUCCACGACACUGGUUUCAGUAAAAGUACUUACCAUUGAAAAAGGCUGGGAUAGUUGGUAAUUAUUUAUUUUAUUUUAUAAUGGAUAUCUUUUCUUAAUGUUGUACACCGACAAUAUGAUUACUCUAUAUUGAAAUUUCAGUGAACCUGACUCUCUUGAGUUUUCUCGGUGAAGGUGUCACCCCCUGCGCCAUGACAACCUUGACACACUGCUGUCAGUCAGCGGCCUCCUAACCCACUACCACAUCAAAAGUUCUCACUCCUUGGAAUCAUAAUCUGAAUUGUUGGGGGAUUUUGGUUUCCAUGCUUAGAUCGGGCAGUGCGCAUCCGCUCCUGGUGACCAUCCAGCUCCAGAAGGGACUGCAGCUGCAACUGCUGCAUAUGUCCAGUUGUUUAAGCUCCAACUAUUGGUACGAUCAUGGUAUUUUUUUCUGUUCGAUCAGGAAAUGAGGGGGGAAGUGAGAGAGAGACAGAGAUGUCUUACAUUUUUUUAAAUCUUGUGCAAUUUAAGGUAAAUUUAGCAAUUCGUAUGUUAGUAACCGCAACUUCAUAGCAUCUAAUGGUGAUACAAAGGGUUUUCACAUGUAAUUUCAUUCAGAGCUAUAUGAUUUUUUCAUAUUAGUUGACAUUGUUAAAAAUAUUAUGAAAACUGCAUCAUGUUGAUAUCUCUUUUGAGGGGAAUUUUUAUGUUUCAAAGCAUCUGUUGCAGAGGCUGAGGUAAUUAGUGCUACCUUAGCUGUUGUAAAGGUCACACAAGUUAAUGGUGAGAUGAAGUAUUUAGCUGGCAGAGAUCGAGCAGUCUUCACAUGCGACACCAAAUGUGAACCAGCGUCCAAGUCUCAUCAAACUUGAUAUUGCUCUUGCAAUUAAUUCAAGACUCUACACCAUAGAGCCAGUGAGUAGAAAAUAUAGUUCAUCUGAAUCUGUAUUCUUAUUUAUUCCAUGUCCUUCAAAAAAAGUCCCCCCAGGUUGUUUAUUUUCUUUUUGGUGCACUAUUCCUUAAUUGAUAGACCAUACGCUGCAUCUUAUAGACUGAAUUCUCAACUAUUUAUCUUAAGUUGCUUUAUGGAAUGCUUGACAACAUUUUUCAGUCUUUUGUAGGUUGUGGUAGAAGCAGAGACAAGAAACGACUAAGGUCACAUGGUUAGGCAGCUGCCAAAUGAUGAGUUUGAAACCAAAGGAGGAAGGUUUAUCUAUGGCAGACCUGAAAAUGCAACAACGUCUAGAGAACUAUUGGAUCAGUUAAUGUCUACUUUGCGAAAAUAAAGUUACCGGUGGAAAGCAGCACAUACUAGAAUAUGUUAUUGUAGAUUUCAAGAAUCUGUUAGAUAAAUGGUUAUAUAGUUCACUCUUAUAUUUGUGCGAGUAUAAAUAACACUUCAUCACAGGAAAUUCUCCUUUUCUGUUCUACCUUUAAGGUUCUCCUUUUGGUCUAAUUAA